rnacentral:lncRNA from 1 species
GGUACCAUUGCUAGAUGGUCACUCCGAUUGGUAUAAAAAUUUAUUUCUGUGCUACGGACUUAGGUUCAGACCUAUGAGGUUAUACACAUUAGAGUUCAUGAUCCGAUCGGAUGGUUGAUCAACGAUUAAGAAUCAUUCUAGGGUUAAAUGAUCAAUACGAUGGACAUUUAAUCGAGUGCAAGUGUUGCAGGAGGAUCGAUUAGGAAUUUGACUGCUAAUUGACUUAAUUUGAUUAAGCCAAAGGGCUUAGAUUAAGUCUAAUUAAAUAUGAUUUAAUUAUAUUUGGUUUGUUCUUGAUUGGAUCAAGUCCAAUUGAUUUAUUGGAUAAGCCAAGUGCAAGAAAAAAACUAGUCCUAGUUCAAAUAAGACUUG